AACGCACAUUGCGCCUCCUGGUAUUCCGGGAGGCAUGCCUGUUCGAGCGUCAUCAAAAACCUCAACCAUAAUUUAUUAUGAGUUGGUAUUGCAUUGGACUUCUUGUGGGUCCUCUGCGAAAUUCAAUGGCGAAGAGCCACGCAACCAAAGCGUAGUAUAACUAUUUCGUUAUGGAAGCGUUGGUGCCUCUGCCGUAACCCCCAAUUUCUUAGUUUUUGACCUCGGAUCAGGUAGGGAUACCCGCUGAACUUAA
rnacentral:misc_RNA from 1 species